UGACGUUCGGUACAAGAGUGCGACAGC
rnacentral:sRNA from 1 species